CCCUUGGCAGUCCAGUGGUUAGGACUCAGCACUUUCACUGCAGUGGUCUGGGUUCAAUCCCUGCUUGGGGA
rfam:TPA: Bos taurus chromosome 3, whole genome shotgun sequence.